CCUAGUGGCCAGCUGUUAACCAAGAAAAUAAAUCUUUCACAUUUCUUGGCAGGAAAGAGUGCCACAUUUCCCCGUGACAUCAGGAAAAUGGGUUGUGUCUUCUUUCCACCAGCUGUCCUCUUCAGAGAUAGCCAGCCUGUAGCUCAAAGCAGCCUGCAAGUUCCCAGGACCACAGCCCCCACUCUUUCAAGACCAGCUUCCUCCCACAGCAGAAAUCAAAUGGGCAACGUGGAGUAGUGCUUAAGCAUGGGAGCCCUCGUGUCGAUUUUCCCCAGGCUCAAAUUGCAGCAUUUCUGCUUACUAGCUCUGUUCCACUAGCAGGUCUUUUAAACUCUUCAAGCCUCAGUGUUCCCAUCUGUAUAACGGGGAUGAUAUUGGAGCUUACUGCAUAAAAUACAAAUAGAAUUGCAAGUACUGUGGAGUAGUUAGUCAAUUUUGGUGAUGAUCAUAAUGAUGAUGCCAAUGAUGUCUGCUGGCAUGCCACGGCUUCGCAUUGAAGGGACUGAUAUGCUUCCCAAUCUUUAGUUCUAAUGGCCCCUGCUUGGGUCUGGUGACUGUCUCUGGGCCAUUUAAUGCUGGGCAUGUGAGAGGGUACUCUGACUGGCUCACUCAGGAGCCAAUCAAGAGCAAGGGGGAGUGCAGGGAGGUGGGGUCAGGAAGAAGAUGGGAGGUCCUUCUAAAGCCACAUCAAGUAGGAGGAGGGCACUGUUGAGAAGAACGAGUUCUGUGUUUGCAACCAAGGUUGUAGGCGGCUGCUGUAAGAUCCUGUAACAGAUUCACCGUGAACUAACAAAGCCAACGUGGCAGGACCUCUCAGACCUGAACGGGCUUUUUACAAGGCCCUUGGUGCGGUGCUAACAAUGUUUCCACAGGGUCAUACGUUUUUGUGAAAGUACAGCAUUUUAACCACAAUGGGUUAAUCCCGCUGUCUCUUUCCAAUCUGACUUCUCAUCUGUCACACUCGCCUCUGUAGGAGGUGCCACCGGAGUGGCUGUGAACAUUUUUGGUGUCUGGCUAAAAGGAUGUUGAGUUAGG
rnacentral:lncRNA from 1 species